GUGCCAAGAGACGCGGUCGCUGCUCUGUUGUCAAUGUUUGUGUGGAUGAGGGAACAUCAUCAGGAUAUUUUGCAACCAAGGUAAUUUAUAAUUCUCCUUCCAAGCUGCUGGAAGUCAGGAUGGAGCUGUGCACACUCAGCAUUGCCAGAUUUGGUGAAAAAAAGAAACAGAUUUUCAGCAUCAAAGGACAUUUGCUCGCUCCGGAGAUUGAAUAUUCUGCCUGCACUUGAUUCACUGAAGAAAAUGAAAUGCAAAAUAAGCAGGGAGAGAAGAGCUAUAGUGGUAAGAUAUAUGAUGUAUUUGUUAAUGUGCAUCAUGCACAUGUUCCAGAGCUUUCAAAUGGGCCCUAAAAUUUAUCUC
rnacentral:lncRNA from 1 species